rnacentral:lncRNA from 1 species
GGGAGAGGGUCUGCACUCGCUGCCGCUGCUCCACACCCCAAGAGUCCCCACACCCCAGCGCUCGGAGCUCCAGGAAGCGGGAGAGGGUCCCCAGUUAGACCUUGAGUAGGGAGGGAGUUGGGUGGUCGACAGAUUGGGCUCAGUGAUCGUAACCCGUCCCUGGAGGCAGCUUUCUGAGAGUCCAACCCCUUCCCUGGAGGAUGAAAAUUCCGUAGGGAGGUGAGUUUCCCAAAGAACCCUACCCCAAAGAGAGUGGUCCCUGGCUCCAAACGUGGUCACUCAGGUGACCGCACCAGGGACCCGAUGGAGAGUGGAAUCUGUAGUGGGGCGCGGCAGUAAAAUUAGGGUGGGAGCGUGAGAAAACAGCUGACCAAGACCUGGAGUGCUGAGUAAGGACCCCGGAGGCAGAGGGACAGCUCCUUGAGACUGAAUUUAUUCAUCUGAGGAUACACAUUGGGUGAGAGGCUCCUGAAGAUCUUCUGAACCAACUUUCACCAAGUUCUCUGACUCCCUUGAGUGACGACUCAGAGAUUUUCUCCCUGCAUCCAUCUCUCCUCCACCAGUGCAAGAUCAACCAGUCUGCAUUAGUCUACAUCUGUUGUUCAAGAAGACCAGUUACUAAUACAUAAACUCAUGAAUGCGACAUCAAGCCCUAUCCGACAUGCUCACCACUUUUUUGAUAUUAUCCUUCGAAAUCUCCCCGCAUAUUUCCCUUCUAACACCCAAGAGAUCACCAGUUCCCAACUUAGAGAUUUCAUUCUUGAUCUCUUUCUCCAGGGUGAUCUUAUGGAUUUCACUUGGGAUGAAGUAAUGCAGUUCCUGGAACUUCCAUAAAAUAUGCCAUUAUGUCUCUCCUUACAAUAAAAGUGGAUCUGGA